UACGUAGGGAGCGAGCGUUGUCCGGAUUCAUUGGGCGUAAAGAGCUCGUAGGCGGCUUGGUAAGUCGGAUGUGAAACCUCCAGGCUCAACCUGGAGUCGCCAUCCGAUACUGCUAUGGCUAGAGUCCGGUAGGGGCCCAUGGAAUUCCUGGUGUAGCGGUGAAAUGCGUAGAUAUCCGGAGGAAUACCAAAGGCGAAGGCAGUGUCCUGGAGGGUGACUGACGCUGAGGCGCGAAAGCUAGGGGAGCGAACAGG
rnacentral:rRNA from 1 species